CAGCCGCCGCGGGAAUACGUAGGGUGCAAGCGUUAAUCGGAAUUACUGGGCGUAAAGCGUGCGCAGGCGGUUUGUUAAGACAGAUGUGAAAUCCCCGGGCUCAACCUGGGAACUGCAUUUGUGACUGGCAAGCUAGAGUCUGGCAGAGGGGGGUGGAAUUCCGCGUGUAGCAGUGAAAUGCGUAGAUAUGCGGAGGAACACCGAUGGCGAAGGCAGCCCCCUGGGCCAACACUGACGCUCAUGCACGAAAGCGUGGGGAGCAAACAGGAUUAGAUACCCCAGUAGUCCCUGUCUCUUAUAA
rnacentral:rRNA from 1 species